UGUGGCUUCAUUUCAAUAGCUGUGGUAGAGAUGAUACUAAAGAGUAGGAUGUGUUGACAAGGAGGGAGGAAAGAGCUGAGACUUGGGGCUCCUGGUGACAAGAUGAGCUCUUAGUGUGUGACACCUGUGAGGGCAGGUAGAGCAGGUGAUGAGGAAGUCCUGGGAUAGUCCUGGGUGUGGGCAGCCAGAGUGGAUGGAGAUCAAGUCAAGGAAGUAAGGGAGACUCUGGAUGGAUGGACAACUUCCUCUAGAGAUGGCGGGAAUUGAGAUGGUAGGACUGUACAGUGGCAGCACUGAGAUGGGAAAUAAAGUGACAGAAAGCACAUGUCUCAGCAGAGAGUUUUUCUGGGUAGCAGAGCCGAGUUUGCCAGGAGUAUUGAGCCAGGCAUCUUGAGCUGCUGCUCCCUGGGGAAUUGGGUAGUAGAUGGGGGGCGUGGUCUCAGCAGCACUUGCCCUUGGGGAACCGAGCCUCAAGACGUGGGCCUCAGUGGCCAGCUGCUGGCGGGUUCAGGAAGGCCAGCUCUGGGACAUCCACCAUCAGCCCCUGGUUCCCUCUCUUCCCACCUCUGCUGCAGCUCAGUAUGUCCAGUUUCUCCAGGAUUGCUGUAAGUUCUACUGUCGGUGCUUGCAUUACUUUUCUGAUGUCAAGAAGUGUUCGGAGGGGGCUGAGCAGUUCUGUGCAUCCCAAGGAGCUCACCUGGCAUCGGUGUCCUCUGAGGAAGAGCAGGUUUUUGAGCAAGGAGCAGCUGGACAACUGGCAGCACAGGAACGGGCCCACGGAGGACUGUGUCCAUACUCAGCAGAUGUGCAGUGA
rnacentral:lncRNA from 1 species